rnacentral:rRNA from 1 species
ACUCCUACGGGAGGCAGCAGUGAGGAAUAUUGGUCAAUGGGCGGAAGCCUGAACCAGCCAUCCCGCGUGAAGGAAGACAGCCUUACGGGUUGUAAACUUCUUUUCUGUCAGAAGAAUAAGCUUGUCGAGACGAGUGAUGCCGGUAUGACAGGAAUAAGCAUCGGCUAACUCCGUGCCAGCAGCCGCGGUAAUACGGAGGAUGCAAGCGUUAUCCGGAUUUAUUGGGUUUAAAGGGUGCGCAGGUUGUUUGAUAAGUCAGUGGUGAAAGUCUGUCGCUUAACGGUAGGAUUGCCAUUGAUACUGUUGGACUUGAAUAUGGAUGAGGUAGGCGGAAUGUGUAGUGUAGCGGUGAAAUGCAUAGAUAUUACACAGAACACCGAUUGCGAAGGCAGCUUACUAAUCCAUCAUUGACGCUGAGGCACGAAAGCGUGGGGAUCAAACAGGAUUAGAUACCCUGGUAGUC